UGUACAUGUCAACCACAUUGUCAUGGUGGUAAUCCCGCAUGAUCACGACCUGGGAAAACGGGAAAGAUACUUUUGACUUGUGAAGAUGAAGUUGCUUUUUGUUCUCUUGUGGCCACAUCUACAAUUCAGCAUCAUCAGAGUCCACCCUUAACAGCUGGCAUAUGACAUAAAGAAGAAGCCUGCCUGCACCAAGGGGACAAUUUCCAGGCAAAAAUGGAAUGCAGAGCUCUCUGCUGAAAGCUAACCAUCUUCAAAAUAGGCCAUGAGACAAAAAGGUGUUGUUGUCUUUCAUGGCUGCUGGUAAGAGGUGUAGACUCUUAAGCAAUGGUUGAGGAACAGCCAGUAUCACAAGAGACAAUGUUUUGAAUGAAACUCGAGGCAUACUCAUCAGAGAAUGAACUGUUCACUUCAAGUGAGGGGACAUGUGGUCUUCCCUCAGAGGACAAAUAGCUGACUCUGUGAAGGAGAAAUGCAUGGGUGACCCCAUUUGGGGCCACCAAGGUGCUGAACCAUUGCCUUCUGUUGGAUCUUAACCCACAUGUGGGGUUCCAUGAUGAACUCUGCAUUGUUACAACACCACUCAGGCUUUCUUCUGUAAGUUCUUUCAAGGAAGACAGUGCAAACUUUCUUCUGUGAUGAGACCUCCUCACAUAGCUCUUGGACUUUCAUAGUCAUCCCAUAGUUCCAGCUUUUACCCACGGUUUACACUCUGGGUGACAUUAAGGAACUUCUCAAGGAUUCCAUCCUACAGGAUGGAAGAACAGGAAGAAUAAACAGCAUUCCAUGGGCACAGAAAAUCCACCUGUCAGUCACCACCCAUUCUUCAACAGCAAGGACAAAAUGUAAAACUGUGUCAAACACACACACACUCACGUAUGACCCUCCUCAUUUCUGCUUCAUCUGGAGACCUACACAAGUUUUGUGCUUCCUUUUAUUAUUGGAGAUGAAAACAUGACCCAGCCUCCUUUAGGAGUCUCUGCAAGCAAGGCCGACUCAUCUGAGUCGUGACCGCUAUUUCUUCCCUCAGCUGGAAAUCCAAAUGUGAUUGGUAUACUCUAAGAGUACCGUUCUAAAGACACAGGCACCUCCGUCUUUUCAGAGAAAUGUUGUAUUUUUAAUCAAGUAAACGUUUUAAUUACUAACCUGCCUCCCACCUCUUAUCCUCCCACAAAACACAAAACCUGCUCAUGAAUCUCUCACGAGUUUCCUGUGAAACAUGGAGCAGCAGCUUGCUUCUUUGUAUUUCUGAUCAUAAGGGCUGAACACCCUUGGUAGAAGUUCCCAUGAGUGAAUAUGCUGUUUUUGUUGUUGUUGUUUUUGGUGAGCCACAAUAGUUUGUGCAUUGUUUCUGGGCUGGCAGAGCCUGAUUUCAGGGCAGGUCUGCUUUAUCUUAUAUUUGGAAGUCUGCAGAAUAGAGAGAGCCUAUAGGGAAUUAAAGUGAAUCACCCCUC